rnacentral:rRNA from 1 species
CGUCUAUAUACGUAUAGCAUAUCAAUAAGCGGAGGAAAAGAAACUAACUAGGAUUCCCUCAGUAACGGCGAGUGAAGCGGGAAGAGCUCAAAUUUGAAAUCUUCAAGGUUCUACCUUGACGAAUUGUAGUUUAAAGAAGUGUUUUCUGUUGAAGUUUCGGUAAAAGUUCUUUGGAAUAGGACAUCAUAGAGGGUGAGAAUCCCGUAUUUGACCAGUUAUUUUCCAGCUGUGUGAUACACUUUCAAAGAGUCGGAUUGUUUGGGAAUGCAGUCCAAAAUGGGUGGUAAAUUUCAUCUAAAGCUAAAUACUGGCGAGAGACCGAUAGCGAACAAGUACCGUGAGGGAAAGAUGAAAGGAACUUUGAAAAGAGAGUUAAACAGUACGUGAAAUUGUCAAAAGGGAAGCGUUUGACACCAGUGUUGUUUUCUCGAAAAUCAAUUAAAAAUGGCUGGAUUUUGUGUUGUAUUGACCUUUAAUCAGCUUUCUUCACUUUUUUCCUGUCUUUUUUAAGUGCACUUUUCGUUUAACAAGUCAACAUCAGUUUCUUUUGUUGUAAAAGAGGUCAUUGGAAGGUGGCUUUCUUUUCGGAGAAAGUGUUUAUAGCCUUUGACUUCUGCAAUCGGAGAGAUUGAGGUCUGCAGCGUAGAUCCUUCGGGGUUAGAUGCAUUUGUGCUAAGUUAUAGCCUUUCAUAGACAACUUGUUGACUAUGAUCAGUCAUGUAGCUUACUCGCUUAUGUCAUUUUACCUACGCUUAGGAUGUUGACGAUCAGCUGAGCGCG